CCUACGGGUGGCAGCAGUGAGGAAUAUUGGUCAAUGGGCGGGAGCCUGAACCAGCAAAGCCGCGUGAGGGAAGAAGGUACAGCGUAUCGUAAACCUCUUUUGUCAGGGCACAAAGACUGAGACUACUCGCCGGAUGAGCGUACCUGAAGAACAAGCAUCGGCUAACUCCGUGCCAGCAGCCGCGGUAAUCCGGAGGAUGCGAGCGUUAUCCGGAUUUAUUGGGUUUAAGGGGUGCGCAGGGGGCCGGUUAAGUCAGCGGUAAAAGCCCGGGGCUCAACCCGGGCGAGCCGUUGAAACUGGCGGGCUGGAGUUGGAGAGAAGUACGCGGAAUGCGCGGUGUAGCGGUGAAAUGCUUAGAUAUCGCGCAGAACCCCGAUUGCGAAGGCAGCUUACCGGAUACACACUGACGCUGAGGCACGAAAGCGUGGGUAUCGAACAGGAUUAGAUACCCGUGUAGUC
rnacentral:rRNA from 1 species